UACGUAGGGUGCAAGCGCUGUCCGGAAUUAUUGGGCGUAAAGAGCUCGUAGGCGGUCUGUCGCGUCGGCUGUGAAAACCCGGGGCUCAACCCCAGGCCUGCAGUCGAUACGGGCAGACUAGAGUGCGGUAGGGGAGAUUGGAAUUCCUGGUGUAGUGGUGAAAUGCGUAGAGAUCGGGAGGAACACCUGUGGCGAAGGCGGCCGACUGGGCCGACCCUGACGCUGAGGCGCGAAGGCGUGGGGAGCGAACGGG
rnacentral:rRNA from 1 species